CUUGACUCCCAUAAGAGGUCCAGCCUGCCCAGUGAUACUAUUAAACGGCCGCGGUACUCUGACCGUGCGAAGGUAGCAUAAUAACUUGUUCUUUAAAUGGGGACUAGCAUGAACGGCAUCACGAGGGUCUCACUGUCUCCUUUUUCUAAUCAGUGAAACUGAUCUCCCCGUGAAGAAGCGGGGAUAAAAAUAUAAGACGAGAAGACCCCAUGGAGCUUUAAACCCAAUAGACACCUCUGACUAAUCUAACCCAAAACACUUCUUAAGUUCUGUCUAUUGGUUUUAGGUUGGGGUGACCACGGAGUACAAUAAAUCCUCCAUGACGUACGGGACUUCCCUCUUAUCCUUGAACCACAUUUCUAAGAAUCAACAAAUUGACGUUUGAUGAUCCAAUAUAUUGAUCAACGGACCA
rnacentral:rRNA from 1 species